rnacentral:rRNA from 1 species
UACGUAGGGAGCAAGCGUUGUUCGGGAUUACUGGGCGUAAAGGGAGAGUAGGCGGAACGGUAAGUUAGGAGUGAAAUGUACGGGCUUAACCCGUGACCUGCUCUUAAUACUGCCGUCCUUGAGUAUGGGAGAGGAUGAUAGAAUUCCAGGUGUAGCGGUGGAAUGCGUAGAUAUCUGGAAGAAUACCCGUUGCGAAGGCGGUCAUCUGGCCCAAUACUGACGCUGAGGCUCGAAAGCUAGGGGAG